CUGGGCGUUGGGUGGGGGACUGCUGACCAAACUGGAAACUUUCUUCAGGUGGGGUUGUUUGUUUUGAGAUUGAGUCUGGCUCUCUCUCCCAGGCUGGAAUGCAGUGGCACACUCUUGGCUCACUACAACCUCCGCCUCCCCCUCUUCAGGUUCAAACAGUUCCCAUGUCUUAGCCUCCUAAGUCGCUGAGAUUACAGGCAUGUGCCACCACACCAGCUAGUCAUUUUUUUUUUUUUUUUUUUUGCAGAGACAGGGUUUCACCAUGUUGACCAGGCUGGUCUCAAACUUCUGACCUCAAGUGAUCUGCCCACUUUGACCUCCCAAAAUGCUGGGAUUACAGACAUGAACCACUGUACCCAGCACCUUGAGGUGGGUUUUGAGGCUUCACUACGAUACUAGUUUCCUGUUUCUGCUGCAACGAAUUACCGCACACACUUAGAGCUUAAAAUGAUGUAGAUGUAUCUGGGCAUGGUGGCUUAUGCCUGUAAUCCAACACUUUGGGAGGCUGAGGCGGGUGGAUCACCUGAGGUCGGGAGUUCGAGACCAGCCUGACCAACAUGGAGAAACUCCAUCCCUACCAAAAAUACAUAAAUAGCUGGGUCUGGUAGUGCAUGCCUGUAAUCCCAGCUACUCAGGAGGCCGAGGCAGGAGAAUUGCUUCAACCUGGAAGGCAGAGGUUGCAGUGAGCCGAGAUGGUGCCAUCACACUCCAACCUGGGUAAAAAGAGCGGAGCUCCAUCUAAAAAAAAAAAAAACAAAAAAAUGAAGCAACACAGAUGUAUUCCCUUACAGUUCUGAAGGCCAGAAUUCUAAAGUCAGUCCCACUGACUCAAGGUGGGAGCAGGGCAGGCACCUUCCCAGGCUCUGUAGGAGAAUGAGUUUCCUGGCCCCAGAGGCUUCCUGCAGUCCUCAGCUUGUGCUGCCCUUCUUGAAUGACUUGAGGUUCCUGCUUCCAACACUACACUUCCCGUCGCUCUCCAUCACCUGCUCUGUUCUGAUAAGGAUCUGGGCUGGCUGCAGUCUUCAUUCCCUGCAACAUUUGUCUCCUGGGUUCAAGUGAUUCUUCUACCUCAGCCUCCUGAGUAGCUGGGACUACAGGUACCUGCCACCAUGUCUGGCUAAGUUUUGUAUUUUUGGAGGAGAUGGGGACAUGGAGGGGGUAGUGGAAGGUGGGGGAGAGGACGGAAGUUUCUGCUAUGUUGCCCUCAGCUCAAGGCGAUCCACUUACCUCUGCUCCCUAAGUGCUAGGAUUACAAACCUGCAUCACCUCACUUGUUACUGUAAAGUCUUAUUUCCACACAGCUGAGACAUGUUUUAAAAAGUUUGCCAAAAG
rnacentral:lncRNA from 13 species